rnacentral:rRNA from 1 species
GACGAACGCUGGCGGCGUGCUUAACACAUGCAAGUCGAACGAAGAGCGAUGGAAGCUUGCUUCUAUCAAUCUUAGUGGCGCACGGGUGAGUAACGCGUAAUCAACCUGCCCUUCAGAGGGGGACAACAGUUGGAAACGACUGCUAAUACCGCAUACGAUCUAAUCUCGGCAUCGAGGAUAGAUGAAAGGUGGCCUCUACAUGUAAGCUAUCACUGAAGGAGGGGAUUGCGUCUGAUUAGCUAGUUGGAGGGGUAACGGCCCACCAAGGCGAUGAUCAGUAGCCGGUCUGAGAGGAUGAACGGCCACAUUGGGACUGAGACACGGCCCAGACUCCUACGGGAGGCAGCAGUGGGGAAUCUUCCGCAAUGGACGAAAGUCUGACGGAGCAACGCCGCGUGAGCGAUGACGGCCUUCGGGUUGUAAAGCUCUGUUAAUCGGGACGAAAGGCCUUCUUGCGAAUAGUGAGAAGGAUUGACGGUACCGGAAUAGAAAGCCACGGCUAACUACGUG